rnacentral:rRNA from 1 species
AUACGGAGGAUGCGAGCGUUAUCCGGAUUUAUUGGGUUUAAAGGGAACGUAGGUGGGAUAUUAAGUCAGCUGUGAAAGUUUGGGGCUCAACCGUAAAAUUGCAGUUGAAACUGGCAGUCUUGAGUACAGUAGAGGUGGGAGGAAUUCGUGGGGUAGCGGGGAAAUGCUUAGAUAUCACGAAGAACUCCGAUUGCGAAGGCAGCUCACUAGACUGUUACUGACACUGAUGCUCGAAAGUGUGGGUAUCAAACAGGAUUAGAUACCCUGGUAGUCCACACAGUAAACGAUGAAUACUCGCUGUUUGCGAUAUACAGUAAGCGGCCAAGCGAAAGCAUUAAGUAUUCCACCUGGGGAGUACGCCGGCAACGGUGAAACUCAAAUGAAUUGACGGGG